GAUGAACGCUAGCGGCAGGCCUAACACAUGCAAGUCGAGGGGUAGCAGGAUUAAGCUUGCUUAAUUGCUGACGACCGGCGCACGGGUGCGUAACGCGUAUGCAACCUACCUUAUACUGGGGUAUAGCCCGGAGAAAUUCGGAUUAAUCCCCCAUAGUACUAAUGAAUCGCAUGGUUUAUUAGUUAAAGCAUUGCGGUAUAAGAUGGGCAUGCGUCCUAUUAGCUAGAUGGUGAGGUAACGGCUCACCAUGGCUACGAUAGGUAGGGGGCCUGAGAGGGUGGUCCCCCAACCUGGUACUGAGACCCGGAACAGACUCCUACGGGAGGCAGCAGUGAGGAAUAUUGGUCAAUGGGCGCAAGCCUGAACCAGCCAUGCCGCGUGCAGGAAGAAUGCCCUAUGGGUUGUAAACUGCUUUUAUUUGGGAAUAAACCUCUUUACGUGUAGAGAGCUGAAGGUACCAAAUGAAUAAGCACCGGCUAACUCCGUGCCAGCCGCCGCCGUAA
rnacentral:rRNA from 1 species